rnacentral:tRNA from 1 species
GGAGAGGUGUCCGAGUGGUUUAAGGAGCACGCCUGGAAAGCGUGUAUGUGGCCAACGCUGCAUCAAGGGUUCGAAUCCCUUUCUCUCCGCCA